GCUAAGGAAUGAAUUGGGAUUGAAACUUUUCAAAAGUCGAUAUUCAUGGUUGAUAAAGCUCAAGCAGAAAUAUCUGGACUACAGUCCGUUUUUCCAGGAAAUAAAAUAUUUCUCUGUCGCUUUCAUGUAGCUAAAGCUUUUAUUUAUCAAAUUAAAAAGGGUAGACUUACUGCUGACGAUCAGGAAUUAUUAUUCAAGGCUACUCAGAAAUUAAUGUACGGUAAUCAGGCAACAUGCGCUGAAGCUUUGUUAAAUAUU